UACGGGGGGGGCAAGCGGUUGUCCGGAAUCAUUGGGCGUAAAGCGCGUGUAGGCGGCCCGAUAAGUCCGCUGUGAAAGUCGAGGGCUCAACCCUCGAAUGCCGGUGGAUACUGUCGGGCUAGAGUACGGAAGAGGCGAGUGGAAUUCCUGGUGUAGCGGUGAAAUGCGCAGAUAUCAGGAAGAACACCCGUGGCGAAGGCGGUUCUCUGGGACGGUACUGACGCUGAGACGCGAAAGCGUGGGGAGCGAACAGG
rnacentral:rRNA from 1 species